rnacentral:rRNA from 1 species
AUUGAACGCUGGCGGCAGGCCUAACACAUGCAAGUCGAACGGUAACAGGAAGCAGCUUGCUGCUUCGCUGACGAGUGGCGGACGGGUGAGUAAUGUCUGGGAAACUGCCUGAUGGAGGGGGAUAACUACUGGAAACGGUAGCUAAUACCGCAUAACGUCGCAAGACCAAAGAGGGGGACCUUAGGGCCUCUUGCCAUCGGAUGUGCCCAGAUGGGAUUAGCUAGUAGGUGGGGUAACGGCUCACCUAGGCGACGAUCCCUAGCUGGUCUGAGAGGAUGACCAGCCACACUGGAAAUGAGACACGGUCCAGACUCCUACGGGAGGCAGCAGUGGGGAAUAUUGCACAAUGGGCGCAAGCCUGAUGCAGCCAUGCCGCGUGUAUGAAGAAGGCCCUCGGGUUGUAAAGUACUUUCAGCGGGGAGGAAGGGAGUAAAGUUAAUACCUGUGCUCAUUGACGUUACCCGCAGAAGAAGCACCGGCUAACUCCGUG